rfam:Brassica oleracea var. oleracea cultivar TO1000 chromosome C4, whole genome shotgun sequence
UGUCCGAUGCCACGUCGACGAUAGCUUUAUUGGCAAUGAUCAUCGAUGCUACAUUGGACAUAAACGGAUGUUUGUGUUUCGCUAUUCUGAUAGGAACCUGUGGAUCUUGAGUCUCUUGUGGUCUACGGAGCCAUUUCGGCGAUUACAUUU